UGCUGAGCAGCCCCCUUCCAAACAACUAGUCCUGAAUGGUGGAUGGAAAAGGAAUAAACAAUGAUGAACAUGAAUAAAGGGAAAAAAAAAUGUUCAAUGUUCAAACCUGCAACAUGCUAAAGGUAACAUCUCAGGGAAAGUGGGAGAGGACCUGGUUCAGCACCUUGUGGCACUCCACUAUCACCAGCUCUGAUGCCAGGUCAGGCGUUGCAGAUGUCACAGGACAUUUUAAUGGAAAAAGCAAGGCUUGUGAGUCUUUGGAGCUGACAUGUCUUCAUUCGCUGGCUACUCAGAGCACCAUCCCUCAUCACUGAGCAGUAGGUGGGGGAUGAGGUUGGGAGUGUCUUGAUCUUCCAGUGGACUGGGAGUUUCUGCUUCAAAACAGCCAGCGGGUUGAAAAGUGAGUUUUGAAAGACCAAAGAAAUCUCAGCUGCUGGUGAAGUAAUCAUUGAGUCAUUGGUAUUGAUUAACAACUGUACCAAGCCUCCAUAGAUAUAUUGUGUCCAGAAACAAACUUACUUGCUUCCCCUUUAGCAGCUCCUUGUCCUGCUGAAGAAUCCUUGAACAAAACACUGAACCUGUAACUGCGCAGUCACUGCAGGGCACACUGGAUAAUAAGAUCUAAGAAAUCUGCUGAAUGAACACACAAGAUAUGUAACCAUAGAUCAGUAUAGGUCCAAAAGAUUUUAUUCACUGUCUGAACAAAAUUCACCACAGUUCUUUUUAUAACACAUUCUUUGAGGAAUUAUUUGGAAAUUUUCUUGUAAUUUUAUGAAAACUUUAUUUUAAUUUAUGCGUAAUUCUUCUUGUAAUAUAAUUUCAAAUUUAUUUAUAAAUAAAU